GAUGAAGAACGUAGCGAAAUGCGAUAAGUAGUGUGAAUUGCAGAAUUCAGUGAAUCAUCGAAUCUUUGAACGCACAUUGCGCCCCUUGGUAUCCCGAGGGGCAUGCCUGUUCGAGCGUCAUUUCACCACUCAAGCCUGGCUUGGUGUUGGGCGACGUCCUCUUUGGGGACGCGCCUCGAAACGCUCGGCGGCGUGGCACCGGCUUUAAGCGUAGCAGAAUCUUUCGCUUUGGAAGUCGGGGCCCCGUCUGCCGGAAGACCUGCUCGCAAGGUUGACCUCGGAUCAGGCAGGGAUACCCGCUGAAAUUAAGCAUAUCAAUAAGCGGAGGA
rnacentral:misc_RNA from 1 species